rnacentral:lncRNA from 10 species
CAGAACACACCUGGCAUCGUAGACACAUGCUGUUUGCUGCCCAGAAUCGAUUGCUCUCUUUUCUUGGUUACCACCUCAUUGGUUGCUGCAUAUCUGCAUAACCACACUGAAGCAUCCAGGCGCUUUCUGUGUGAAAGGCAGUUGAGAGAAGUUGGGGCUUGGCAUCUGAGCAGAACCUUGACUCUCUUCAAAAGGGGGCUGACACACUGGAGAAACCCUGGAGACCAACAGCUGGCUUGCACAAAACUCGGACCUCAUUGCUCUUCAAAUAUUUAUGAAUAAUUUUCUUCAACGUGUUUGCUAACUGUUAAGAAUAUUAGUUUUUGCUGGUCUUCUUACUCAUGGCCCAUCUGAAGUCCCCUGGCCUGACCCUCCUGUGAAGUCAUCCCGCUGAACGGGCGCCACCGGGUCGGGGCAUUGCCAUAGUGUCAGCCCACGGGGCCAUAAACACAGGCUUUGCUGGAUCCCUGCCCCUUCAACUGGGGGAGGCUGGGUGGUAAGAUGAGAAGGCGCCUUCCUUCCAGCCCAUUUUCUCCAAAGCAGCAAGUUUCGAGAACGUCACAUUUGAUACAUGGCAUAGAAGAGGAAUAUCCUCAAACACAACUUUCGGGUGAUUAUCUCCUAUCCUAAGUGCCAUCUGUAUGGUAUUAUGCUUAUGUGACUGCAUGAAUGUAUAUAUGGACACACACACAUAUACACAUUUUUAAGUUUUCAAGCAAAAUGAGUAUUAGUAAGUAUGAGAAACCUGGCCCAAGUCCCCAUGAGUCUCCUCCCUCUGACUUAUUCCAAGUGACUCCUGCUAAACUCUUUUCCCCCCAUCCCAGUGAGCUUCCCUAAAUGGCUUUCAUCAGUCAUGCCAAAUGGUACACUUGGCUUUGCACAGAGCACAAAUGAGGAUGCACGAAGCCCCUAAAGCUCAUUUUCCAUGCCCAUCUCAAACAGGAAGUGAUCCUAGAUCUCCAAGGGUAAGUGAGCAGUACACAAAUUCACUGUCCCUUUAGCCCUCCUAGGUGGAGGCCCUUUGAGAUUCUUAUGAUUUCUUAAUGGUCUAAUAUAAAGUGUAUCCAUGCACAAGAUACAUCGCCUGAUGUAAGAAUCCAUAACUGCGUCCUGUUAACAGUUCCUGCUGUUUGUGGAGUAUUGUCUUGACAUACUCGUUAAACCUCAAUAAAUAUGUUUUUAAUA